rnacentral:rRNA from 1 species
UGGGGAAUUUUGGACAAUGGGCGCAAGCCUGAUCCAGCCAUGCCGCGUGCGGGAAGAAGGCCUUCGGGUUGUAAACCGCUUUUGUCAGGGAAGAAAUCUUCUGAGUUAAUACCUCGGGAGGAUGACGGUACCUGAAGAAUAAGCACCGGCUAACUACGUGCCAGCAGCCGCGGUAAUACGUAGGGUGCAAGCGUUAAUCGGAAUUACUGGGCGUAAAGCGUGCGCAGGCGGUUUUGUAAGACAGAGGUGAAAUCCCCGGGCUCAACCUGGGAACUGCCUUUGUGACUGCAAGGCUUGAGUGCGGCAGAGGGGGAUGGAAUUCCGCGUGUAGCAGUGAAAUGCGUAGAUAUGCGGAGGAACACCGAUGGCGAAGGCAAUCCCCUGGGCCUGCACUGACGCUCAUGCACGAAAGCGUGGGGAGCAAACAGGAUUAGAUACCCUGGUAGUCCACGCCCUAAACGAUGUCAACUGGUUGUUGGGAAGGUUCCUUCUCAGUAACGUAGCUAACGCGUGAAGUUGACC